rnacentral:rRNA from 1 species
UACGGAGGGGGCUAGCGUUGUUCGGAAUUACUGGGCGUAAAGCGCACGUAGGCGGCUUUGUAAGUUAGAGGUGAAAGCCCAGGGCUAAACCCUGGAAUUGCCUUUAAGACUGCAUCGCUUGAACAUCGGAGAGGUAAGUGGAAUUCCGAGUGUAGAGGUGAAAUUCGUAGAUAUUCGGAAGAACACCAGUGGCGAAGGCGACUUACUGGACGAUUGUUGACGCUGAGGUGCGAAAGCGUGGGGAGCAAACAGG